rnacentral:lncRNA from 1 species
CGGCGCUUGAAUUGGUUGAGAAGAUCCUCCUAGAGAAGAAAUCCCUUGAAAAUCGGGAUUGGCACCUACCUGGACAACGAACCUAGCUCGGUUGUGCUCAGAGAAGAAGGAAGGGGGAGAUGAGGGAGAGCUGACGCGUGGGGCCUGGCUGGCGGUGAAAGAAGAGGUGGGGCCCGAUCGUCAGCCGAAGAAGGGGGAGGGGAGGCGCGCGCAGCCUGGGCCUUGGCCCGGUUGCUGAGCUGCGGGGGGAGGGGGAGGGAAUGGGCCGAGACAGUUGGGCUUCGGCCCAAAACUGGGUUGGUUCUUUUUUUUAUUCUUUCCUUUUUCUUCCUUGUUUUCUAAAGCUUUUUGAAAAGAGAUUUUAAAUCCUUUUGG